rnacentral:rRNA from 1 species
UGGGGAAUAUUGCACAAUGGAGGGAACUCUGAUGCAGCGACGCCGCGUGAGUGAUGAAGGAAUUCGUUUCGUAAAACUCUGUUCUAUGGAAGAAAAGGACUGUACCAUAGGAGAAAGCUCCGGCUAAAUACGUGCCAGCAGCCGCGGUAAUACGUAUGGAGCGAGCGUUGUCCGGAAUUAUUGGGCGUAAAGGGUGCGCAGGCGGCUUUACAAGUUGGAUGUGAAAUAUUGUGGCUCAACCACAAACGUGCAUCCAAAACUGCAAAGCUUGAGUUAAGGAGAGGUAAGUGGAAUUCCUGGUGUAGCGGUAGAAUGCGUAGAUAUCAGGAGGAAUACCGGUGGCGAAGGCGACUUACUGGACUUAAACUGACGCUCAGGCACGAAAGCGUGGGGAGCAAACAGG